rnacentral:lncRNA from 1 species
UGUGAACUUUUCCUUUCCUGGGACCCAUUCAGCUGCUAGUUUGGUUGCCUUAACCAGCCUUUCUCUGAUCCCUCAGCUGGAUUCUCCUUUCCCUGAAGCUUUCCACAUUGGACGCCUAGGAAGCACUUUUCCUCUCUGGCGUGUAAGGAUUCUUGUGGGUUUCUGAGAUUCAGCCCAGGCCUCUGGAUGAGCCGAGGCUCCAUUCAUCUCCAUUUUACCUCCAUUUCUUCUGACCCUCGUUUCCUAUCCUUCUCACUCCCUUUCCCCUCAGAGCCAAAGUGGCCAACAUUUAAAAAUUCAUAUUUAUCUUUGUGCAUCAUUUGUGCAGCAAAUCCAAACGACAUGUUUAAGUGGGCAGAGUGGUGGGGCAAUGAGGACUCAAUUCAACAGCUUUGAGAGAAUAGGCCAAUGGGAGUAAUUUCUUGACCUUGAUCUCUGAAGGCAGCACCAUAGUCCACCAUCGAAGGCGGCUCACCGUAUCAAGUCCUCAAUGUAAGAUUCAA